rnacentral:lncRNA from 1 species
CCGAGACAUCGGCCAUUAAGGAACUUUCUGUGGCAUGAAUGAAGGACUCUCCGUUGGCAUGCAGGCGGUGUGCUAUUCGUUCGGUAUGUGGGAAUUCGGCUCUCCAGAAGAUAGUAGGUGCUCUCGCCGUCAUAGGCCUGAUAAGAGAGUGGAUGUCGUGGGAGUCGGUGAUCGGCAAACAGCGUCGUUUAGGAUUGACUCGUUCCAUCCUGAUCGGCCACGCAAGACACUGAGCCAUGGGAUGAGAGACAAAGCACACGCUAAGCCUGAGCCCUUCUCCACACCUUUUCAAUAAAAUUAACCAAUAAUCUGCCAUUCGGUUGGUUUGUCCUGACAGCAACGUAGUUUGGACUUGGAGGAAGAACUCGAGAGUGUGAGUUUUGCUAUGCAGUGGCCUGAUUGAGAUACAGAGAGCAGCGUCUCCGGUUACUGAAAUCAUUUGAGGCCGAUGCCACUGAGGACUCCAGGCCACUCGCACGUAUUUAACUUUAAGAACUCGAGGAUCCUUUGGUUGAAGUACAUUGUCAGUUAAAUUCGCACAGUGCCGCGCUGCCUUAGAACAAAUUGAGUGUAACUCAGUAGAAGUCUAAAGUGUGCAGAUCCUUUCUGGCACAAGCCGUCCACCCUGAUUUCAAUGGCAUGCGCACUCACGCAGUCUGAAAGCGGCAACAUUGCGGAAGUCAAUGGAGAGAGUGUGUCCCUGGAUCCAGUCACUGUGGAUGAUGGAAGAUGGGCAACUUUUGACCGGAUCCAUAGGCUUCGUACCGAAGAAAUACAGGCUUGGGCGGUUUUUAGGAAUUCCUGGCCUUCCCGAAGUACAAGAUUUUUUACGAAAACCUUGUAUUGUGUUAUGCUUCUAGUUGCAACUCGCUGUAAGUUGCACCGUGGGUCUCCUGACGUCACCGAAAUGUCCAAGCCUUCAACCCGUAGAACGUGUUCUGGGGUCAACAGGCACUCUGGCACUGUGCCUGCGAAUGUUUCUGCCUGCACAUCUUACAUAUUUCCUUCAGAGGUGGUAAUUCGGCAUCCAAUGGGAUUUAACGGGAAGCUGGGCCACUGCAGGGGUUAUUCAGAAAACUUAUUGUGUUGCUGUUUGUAUAAUCCAGAGUAAAGAAGAGUUUCAACAAAGAAUUCGACGUGCUAUCAGGGACGUAGCCGACGAUUUUAGCUACCCGAUUAACUCGGACAGCGACGAGGGCUGAAGCGGUCCGACGAUAACCGCAGUCGUUUGGUAGUGCGUCGACUCGUUCGGUGUUGUACAGCGAUUUCAGCUCCGGUGUCUUUCCUGAAAGUUUCCGUUUCUCUAUGGUGUUGGACACACACCAUAUGCUUUCUCGUACGCCACCGCCCUUGUGGGCUGUUCACUCAGUUUGCACAGAUUGCGAGGGCCCCGAUGUUGGUGUUUCGAAACAUGUGUGGGAGCCGUGAAAGCAAUUACUUCGAUUCUUGUGUGAGAGUUGUUUGCAGUGUUCCACGUUCCCUGCUUCCCGGGUUAGCUUAGCCUUGGCUAGUUGCCAACACACUGAGCAAUGUUCCAAAAAGUACGUCUUUUCAAGUACACCCUGGUUCGACAGUUUCAAAUGCGGCGAGACACAUUGAGUUUGAUGGGUCUUUGAGACUGAAUGGAUCUUUGAGUGGGUUGCUUAGUUUAGAGUAUGAAACCAAGUUCGGACGUGCCUUGCUGUUGCCGCUA